CUACUUGUAGCCGUGUGAAUCCAAACCCCCGACGCACUGCGGGUGGUGGCAAAAGACGCAACUUUUGACGGCGGAUUCGCGUGGCGAUCCAGCGACCAGCGAGUGACCUGCGACCGGCCAGCGGCCGGCGACAACAGCAGCACCCACGACGACGUGCCUGGCUAACGCCGCUCUCCGCAACCACUAGUGUCGUCUUUGACACGCUGGUGCGUACCCGGGGGUCUAAGGAGCCACGGUGGCGAAAGACGCAAAGACAAGGUGGUGACUUUGCGACGGGCUAAUCCCGGUCAUUUCCAGCGGUCACCCAGUCACCGCAGUCACCGCAGUCAAUCACGCGCUUUGUCAAUCCAACCUCUGACUACGAUCGGAGAAUUGAGGAUCAUCAUAGAGGUACCCGAGAUAGACACUCGGAUAUUUGCAAUUCAAAUGCUGUGCAGGGUGUGGAGACUAAUCCUAAAGGGUGGGGGGUCAUGUGGAAGGUGUUUACAAAUGGAGGCAGUUGGUGGUGGCUGGUGGACCCUCGAGCUUCGAGCUUCACGUGAUCUGCUGUCAGCGGGGAGGUGAGUCUGGAGUUGAGCCAGUUGAGCCAGUUGAUCCAGGAGUUGAACCAGUUGAACAAAAGUUGACUCUUCAGAAACAAAAAGUGAGCCCGGUCCAAUACUAACGCAAAUGCAAACACAAACCAAAGUGAAAACAGACGCAAAAACAAAUCAAAACGACUUACACCGAAACGCAAACAAUCGACACAAACGAACACAAACAAUCGACACAAACGAAAUACAAACAAUCGACACAAACGCAAACACUGACAACGGACAAUGGACGACGGCCCUAUAUCUAUGGCAUCAAUGGUUAGUCGGUCGACCGACAAUUUACAAACAACCUUGAGUUUGCCGAGUCUGUUUCUGCGUCAUUUUACGCUUUUUUUUGUUCUCCAUGCAAGGAAAUUGAAAUGACAUUUGCCUCUGAAAAAAAAAGAGGAAAAAGAUAAAGAGAAAAAAAAAAAAGAAAAAAAAAGAGAAAAAACAAGGAAAAAUGGGAAAAAGACGAAAAAAAAAGAAAACCCACCACGUCAACGUCGCUCUUGUCGAACCGGUACGAGUACGAGUAUGUACAUUUGAUGGGUACAAGACAUGCGAGUACGAGCUAGACAAGUGGAAUUGGAAAACUGAAACGGACAAGCGGAUUGGCUCCUCAGUGGUGGCAACCGGCAGCAGCUAUCUCGACAACCCUGGCUCUCUAUCUUCAGUUGCUUAAAGGUAGCUGGAAUGAAGAUCCAUGCCUAAUCGGUUACUUUAGGCAGUUUGUCGUGUCGAUCAGCCCGUUGGAACCUGAGCGUUGCCUUGUGUUUGGCUUUGGCUUUGGUCAUAUGCAGAGUAAAGAUUGGAAAUGGAGGCCUGGAAGUAAAAAACGCAACCGAGAGACGUUUGCGUCCGCACAAACCAGACAAGGUUGAGAUGGCAUUGGCAAGGGGCAAGGGGGGGAGACGGGUGGGGUACGGGUACAUACGUCGAGGGUGCAGAGAAAUGUCAUGGAAGCCUGGCUCGAAAUACUGGCGACUUGUCAAAACCAGGUCGAAUCAGCCUAGUGGGAUCCUUAGCUGAAGGAGAAACUCUCGUCGAACCACUGGACCUCAACUUACGUGGAACGUAGAGGUUGGGGUUAUUGCUCCUUGGUUAGCGUGGUGGUUGUACCUAUGAUCCGCCAACUUGAAACGCGUUUGAAACGAGUGAGCAAGGCAGGAGUUGGCGAUGAGCUGGGGUUGUUGGUGUUUGUUCGGUUCAACACAAGCGUGGUGGACAGCAAACGUCAUGCACUGAACGCCUCCACACUUGCACGGUUGCACUUGCUCAUCUCUGCACCACUUGCACACACAGUCAGGUACACGCGGCGAUCAGUCGUAUUGUGUUAGUGUCGCCGUAUCACACGACCAAUUGGCCUCUAUUCCAGCCACAUGUUGUCAGGUUCCCGUUUCCCAAACCCUUGUUUUCUUUGGCGGUGUCGAUCGUCCCCAUCCACCUCGCCUGCUUGCCCUACGUCAUCCAGGACCCACUAUAACCGAAUUAGACCUUGUCUUGGUUCCAGUACGAGCACGCACAGUCAGUGCACUUUAACCAUUUUCUUUAGAACGGUGCGAGUACAGCUCGUACAUGCUACGAGUGCUGCUGCGUACAUUAUUCCAUGGGCCCCCGUUUGUUUUUCCUAUACCUUUUGCGCUUUUGCUAUUUAUGAGACAUAUGAUCUUCCAGCCGUUGACACAAGUAAUUAUUGGUCCGAACAUGGAUCCGAUGAGGCUAGUGCUCCAACAUUCCUGCUGGAUGGUUCUUCGUCCAUCGUCGUCUCGCUUACCUCCACCGCCCGCACGAGACCCUGUCUUGGCGGCAUGGGCAAAUGUCAGGAAAUUAGUCACAAACCCCGACUUGUGUCCCCGGCGUCAUGUACCACGGGAAAUUAGCUACUUGAGCCCUAGCCCCGACUCCUGAAGGACUGCGAAGCACCGUUUGGUUCGUAUCGAGUCGAAAGCGGCUCCAAGGGUCGGGGAUCUGCGCAAAGGUCGACUUUACGGGCCGUCCGGACUUCCAGAGACGACGUCUGGCCAAUCGAGGCGCCACCAGGUUCUCUUUUUCCAUCAGACCUCCAAUCAGCCAAACAAACAAGAUUAAAGUGUCAUGGCCUGGCAGAGUAUCCCAUGGACGGUGGACCAAACAGGCAAUAAUACACGUGCGGGAGUGUGCGUUCCACAGCGGUUAUCUACAAGUACCUGGGUACAUAUUGGGGUACAAGCUGGGGUACGUACCGGUACUGUACUCGAACAGUACUUGGACUGACCAUGUAAUGCCGGACUAAUGAGGGCACCGGACACUAACGCGAAAUCGCGCUGCAGUAGACUGCAAAACGGUCGCUAAAACAAUUAGUACAAACUAUACACGUGUUGUAUGAUAGCUGCGGCGGGUUGCUACUGUGCACGUACGGGCGGAUUAACUAGCUGUGGUUCUAGGAGUCGCUUAUCAGUGCUUUUGGCAUCGAUGGUAGGAUGACGGCUCCCCUUUUCGCUUUUGCGUUGGUGGAUGUCGCGAGGCUAGCGACCGUUUUUCAAACCAGAAUUGGUUUUUGCCGUUGUACUCAGUCCGUGACAAAAGUGUUGGUCAGCGAGCCACAGGUAUGGCCCUUUCCAGAGGUAAGUAGAUGGUGCAGGUUUGUUGAUUAAUCUCUUUGGACCGGCAAGGUUCUUUCAAACUGUUAUUAUAAACAGUUACGAAAAGUUAUGAAAAAUCUGGCCUGCAACCGUUAAACACGGAGGGGAAUUGGAGACCUCGAAGACAGAAACAUUGGAGUGGCAGAGGCAUCGGCCACUCGAUCGAAGAGUCGCCUCCCCACAACUGAUUAUCGCUGACCACGCCAAUGUAACCCUGGAGAAUUAAUUACUGUUUCACACAGACAAGGCAAACUUAGCCCGUGGCAAGGUCUGUUUCUCGAACACUCAUGGGUUUGCUUUUGCUGCUCCCGAGCCCUACUGUGACCCCCACCUGCACAAACCAAAAGCAACGAUUUACGUGUUUUUAACCAUAUCCGAGGUUGCGGUGUUAUCGGAGAAGCGUGUUGAGUAAGCGAGUAUGGAGGAGUGAGUGCGUGGUGAGUGAGGAGCGACAGUCCGUUGAGCGUCCAGAGUAAGUACGAAUGGGAGUACAGUACUUGUACUACAUUUGCAAGAGUCCGACUGAGCGGCUGUCAAUUGU
rnacentral:misc_RNA from 1 species